rnacentral:rRNA from 1 species
UACGGAGGGGGCUAGCGUUGUUCGGAAUUACUGGGCGUAAAGCGCACGUAGGCGGCUUUGUAAGUUCGCCGUCAAAUCCCAGGGCUCAACCCUGGACAGGUGGUGGAAACUACCAAGCUAGAGUACGGUAGGGGCAGAGGGAAUUUCCGGUGGAGCGAUGAAAUGCGUAGAGAUCGGAAGGAACACCCAAGGCGAAAGCACUCUGCUGGGCCGACACUGACACUGAGAGACGAAAGCUAGGGGAGCAAAUGGG